UUCUGAAUAUCUUCAUAUACCGAACCGUGUGCAUAAAGCUCCUGACAGGGCUUCACGGACUGACGUGUGACGGAACGCCACCUAGACAGCUGAUAGGCUGCCUAAGGUAACAGAGCGUCUUAAAAGAGGGCAACUGAUUUUAAGGGAGUACGUAAGACACUUGGUACAACUUCAGGGCGUCAGGUGGGAUAGAAGGAUGAGGGAAAAGGCAGGAUGUUUGGGGCUGUUUCUGUAAAAUAGACGACCACGGUGUGGGAAUAACCGGUGAAUAUCAUAAGGCUUUGCAGGCUUAUGAGGAUAGCGGGAAAAAUGCAGGCAGAGAUUGUGCGGCUGAGCCGAACUAAAGUUCGGGUAAAAAGCCUGACAUCCGUAUACUGGCACAAGUCCGUACACAAUAUUUUAUUAUAAGACGAAUAAUAUAUAAUAUCUGAAUGUCGUGCUGGUGUUGGGGGUACAAAAUAAUCCCCUGUGUACAAGGUUGCGGUGAGAACCGUAAUUCGUAGGGAAGUAUUGGAGUCGCUAUCCAAUGCUCAGACCCUGCGAUACAGUGGCUGAAGAUUCCUGUUUCCUUUGAAGAUACGCUGAAUAAAAGGCGUGGUAUGUGGAGAUGUUCAG
rnacentral:ncRNA from 1 species